rnacentral:rRNA from 1 species
AUACUAGGUGCUGUACGCAU